GUGGAUGUAGCUUAGUGGUAAAGCCCUUACCUAGCAUGCAUGAAUGCAUGAGGUUCUGGGUUCAAUCCCCAACACCACA
rfam:Ictidomys tridecemlineatus contig002243, whole genome shotgun sequence.